CAAUAGCGUAUAUUAAAGUUGUUGCGGUUAAAAAGCUCGUAGUUGGAUUUCUGCCGAGGACGACCGGUCCGCCCUCUGGGUGUGUAUCUGGUUUGGCCUGGGCAUCUUCUUGGAGAACGUAGCUGCACUUGACUGUGUGGUGCGGUGUCCAGGACUUUUACUUUGAGGAAAUUAGAGUGUUUCAAGCAGGCACACGCCUUGAAUACAUUAGCAUGGAAUAAUAAGAUAGGACCUCGGUUCUAUUUUGUUGGUUUCUAGAGCUGAGGUAAUGAUUAAUAGGGAUAGUUGGGGGCAUUCGUAUUUAACUGUCAGAGGUGAAAUUCUUGGUUUUGUUAAAGACGGACUACUGCGAAAGCAUUUGCCAAGGAUGUUUUCAUUGA
rnacentral:rRNA from 1 species